rnacentral:rRNA from 1 species
GAUGAACGCUGGCGGCGUGCCUAAUACAUGCAAGUCGAGCGAACAGACGAGGAGCUUGCUCCUCUGACGUUAGCGGCGGACGGGUGAGUAACACGUGGAUAACCUACCUAUCAGACUGGGAUAACUUCGGGAAACCGGAGCUAAUCCCGGAUAAUAUAUUGAACCGCAUGGUUCAAUAGUGAAAGACGGUUUUGCUGUCAGUUAUCGAUGGAUCCGCGCCGCAUUAGCUAGUUGGGAAGGUAACGGCUUACCAAGGCAACGAUGCGUAGCCGAACUGAGAGGGUGAUCGGCGACACUGGAGCUGAGACACGGUCCAGACUACUACGGGAGGCAGCAGUAGGGAAUCGUACGCAAUGGGCGAAAGCUUGACGGAGCAACGCCGCGUGAGUGAUGAAGGUCUUCGGAUCGUAAAACUCUGUUAUUAGGGAAGAACAAAUGUGUAAGUAACUAUGCACGUCUUGACGGUACCUAAUCAGAAAGCCACGGCUAACUACGUG